rnacentral:rRNA from 1 species
UACGAAGGGGGCUAGCGUUGUUCGGAAUCACUGGGCGUAAAGCGCAUGCAGGCGGAUCGUUAAGUCGGGGGUGAAAUCCCGAGGCUCAACCUCGGAACUGCCUUCGAUACUGGCGAUCUUGAGUCCGGGAGAGGUGAGUGGAACUGCGAGUGUAGAGGUGAAAUUCGUAGAUAUUAGGAAGAACACCAGUGGCGAAGGCGGCUCACUGGCCCGUAACUGACGCUCAGGCGCGAUAGCGUGGGGAUCAAACAGG